rnacentral:tRNA from 1 species
GGGUCCGUAGCUCAGCUAGGUAAGACGUUCAUUGCAAUUCGGCAUUAAAAUAAUAUUAAAAUAACUUUCAAUACCUACGUAAUAUGAAUGUGCUUCCGGUCCUUUCACUUGAAUUGGCCGUAGCAAUCGUAGUUUCGCCGAAAUUAGGGGCUGGGAACGUUUCUAGAAAGAGCAUCUGGCUUUUAACCAGAUGGCCGGGGGUUCGAAUCCCCUCGGACCCGCCA